rnacentral:rRNA from 1 species
AAUCAACGCUGGCGGCGUGCCUAACACAUGCAAGUCGAACGCGAGAGGGGCUUCGGCCCCGAUUGAGUGGCGAACGGGUGAGUAACACGUGGGUGACCUACCUUCGAGUGGGGGAUAACGUCCCGAAAGGGACGCUAAUACCGCAUAACACUCCGCUUUUGAACAAGUGGAAAUCAAAGCCGGGGAUCGUAAGACCUGGCGG